rnacentral:tRNA from 1 species
CAGGAAAUAGUUUAAUUAAAAUAUUAGUUUUGGAAAUUAAAGAUAAUUGUUAAUUUUUUCUGA